GUGAAUCAUCGAAUCUUUGAACGCACAUUGCGCCCCUUGGUAUUCCGAGGGGCAUGCCUGUUCGAGCGUCAUUACAACCCUCAAGCAUUGCUUGGUAUUGGGCUCCGCUGCUCACCCAGCGGGCCUUAAAAUCAGUGGCGGUGCCGUCGAGGCCCUGAGCGCAGUAAAUAUCCUCGCUAUAGGGACCCGGUGGAUGCUAGCCAUCAACCCCACUCUCCUAGUUUGACCUCGGAUCAGGUAGGGAUACCCGCUGAACUUAAGCAUAUCAAUAAGCGGAGGA
rnacentral:misc_RNA from 1 species